CCUACGGGUUGCAGCAGUGGGGAAUAUUGGACAAUGGGCGAAAGCCUGAUCCAGCAAUGCCGCGUGAGUGAUGAAGGCCUUAGGGUUGUAAAGCUCUUUUACCCGGGAUGAUAAUGACAGUACCGGGAGAAUAAGCCCCGGCUAACUCCGUGCCAGCAGCCGCGGUAAUACGGAGGGGGCUAGCGUUGUUCGGAAUUACUGGGCGUAAAGCGCGCGUAGACGGCUUUGCAAGUUAGAGGUGAAAGCCCGGAGCUCAACUCCGGAAUUGCCUUUAGAACUGCAUCGCUAGAACGUCGGAGAGGUAAGUGGAAUUCCGAGUGUAGAGGUGAAAUUCGUAGAUAUUCGGAAGAACACCAGUGGCGAAGGCGACUUACUGGACGACUGUUGACGCUGGGGUGCGAAAGCGUGGGGAGCAAACAGGAUUAGAUACCCUCGUAGUC
rnacentral:rRNA from 1 species